UCCAGCAGUUGACAUUUGCCCUCUUUGAUGGC
rnacentral:piRNA from 1 species